rnacentral:misc_RNA from 1 species
UGUUACUCUGUGAAGUCUGAGCAUGUCUUUUGGUUGAUAAUUUUUUGACUUCUAGAAAUAAUCAGUCUCAUGCUAAUUGGAAGAAGCUUUGGAACCUUCAAGUCCCUUCGAAGGUGAAAAUUUUUCUUUGGAGGGCUUGUCUUGACAUCCUUCCAACUAUUGAUAGCUUGUUCUAAGUGUGGUGUUAGUGUUAAUGGGAUGUGCCUUGGGUGUGGUCACUUUGAAAAUCUUGUUCAUGCUUUGUUGUUUUGUCCUAAGGCCAUUUGCUGUUGGGGUAGUGCUGGGUUCUUUAUUCCCCAAGAUGUUGAGCAUUUUAAUGUUUUGUUCAUGCAUUUCCUAGAUUCCCUCGACUCAAUUACUAUGGCCCGUUUCAGUGUUGUGGCAUGGAGCAUUUGGUCACCUAGAAAUCUUUUGGUUUGGCAGCAAAAAUUUGGGUCUCCUACUUAGAUUUUCUCAUUUGCUUUGGAUGUUCUUCGUGAUUGGGAGCAAGUCGGAAUGUUCAUAUUCAUCCCUCUUGUCUGCCGAUUUUUGUUUCCAGUGGAUAAGGCCUAGUGCUAGUAGAGUAAAGUGCAAUGUGGAUGCAAACUUUUUUCCUAGUAUGCAGAAGACAGGAUUUGGUGCCAUCUUGCGUGAUAACAGGGGUACAUUUGUGGCUGCUGUUAGUGGUCAUUGGGAUGGUUGUAUCCAGGCUGAUUUGGGGGAAGCAGUGAGUCUAAGGGAAGCGCUAUAGGAUUUGUUUGGAUGGAGUGAGAGAACGGUAAGUAAUGGAAAAGUUAAG